rnacentral:ncRNA from 1 species
GUGAGCCGUAUGACAGGAAACUGUCCCGUACGGUUCUGGGGGUAUACGGUCCCGCAAGGGACCGAUUGCCCCAGU